CCUACGGGAGGCUGCAGUGGGGAAUAUUGGACAAUGGGCGAAAGCCUGAUCCAGCCAUGCCGCGUGUGUGAAGAAGGCCUUCGGGUUGUAAAGCACUUUCAGUGGGGAAGAAAGCCUUGGGGCUAAUACCCUCGAGGAAGGACAUCACCCACAGAAGAAGCACCGGCUAACUCCGUGCCAGCAGCCGCGGUAAUACGGAGGGUGCGAGCGUUAAUCGGAAUUACUGGGCGUAAAGCGCGCGUAGGCGGUCUGAUAAGCCGGUUGUGAAAGCCCCGGGCUCAACCUGGGAACGGCAUCCGGAACUGUCAGGCUAGAGUGCAGGAGAGGAAGGUAGAAUUCCCGGUGUAGCAGUGAAAUGCGUAGAGAUCGGGAGGAAUACCAGUGGCGAAGGCGGCCUUCUGGACUGACACUGACGCUGAGGUGCGAAAGCGUGGGUAGCAAACAGGAUUAGAUACCCUAGUAGUC
rnacentral:rRNA from 1 species